GACGAACGCUGGCGGCGUGCCUAAUACAUGCAAGUCGAACGCUGAAGGAGGAGCUUGCUUCUCUGGAUGAGUUGCGAACGGGUGAGUAACGCGUAGGUAACCUGCCUGGUAGCGGGGGAUAACUAUUGGAAACGAUAGCUAAUACCGCAUAAUAGUAGAUGUUGCAUGACAUUUGCUUAAAAGGUGCAAUUGCAUCACUACCAGAUGGACCUGCGUUGUAUUAGCUAGUUGGUGGGGUAACGGCUCACCAAGGCGACGAUACAUAGCCGACCUGAGAGGGUGAUCGGCCACACUGGGACUGAGACACGGCCCAGACUCCUACGGGAGGCAGCAGUAGGGAAUCUUCGGCAAUGGACGGAAGUCUGACCGAGCAACGCCGCGUGAGUGAAGAAGGUUUUCGGAUCGUAAUGCUCUGUUGUAAGAGAAGAACGAGUGUGAGAGUGGAAAGUUCACACUGUGACGGUAUCUUACCAGAAAGGGACGGCUAACUACGUG
rnacentral:rRNA from 1 species